rnacentral:tRNA from 1 species
GCCGGCGUAGCUCAGGGGUAGAGCAGCUGAUUCGUAAUCAGCAGGUCGUAGGUUCAAAUCCCAUCGCCGGCU